rnacentral:lncRNA from 1 species
AAAGUGUGUCCAUUUCCAGGCUGAUCGAAGCUGGCAGAGGAUAGAAGAGCUCUGUGGCCGAGUGAGCUGUUUCUGGAGCCAGAUGCGUCUUUGGCGGAGCCUGAGGUCCCCUGCUACUAGCCAAGACGAAUUGACAGAACUUCCAAAACACUUUGCAAAGACAGCGAGUGCACAAAGCUGCAGCUCACAGCCUUGUCCCAUGGCCGGGAG